GCUUUGCUUAGAUGAAAGUGUGAAAUUUUAGUUACGAAUGGGAUUGGCUGGUGUGGCAUCUCUGGUGCUGUUUAUUUUGACACUGACUUUGUCAUGCAGGAUGUUUGCACAGGUAAUUCCAGUCCCACAGCAGGCUCCUGUGGUACCCUGCAGAUUUUUUAAAUUCCCCCAGGGAUGGUGACUCCUCCACUGCCCUGGACAGCCUGAGUCAGUGCCUGACCACUCUUUCCAUGAAGAAAUUAUCCCCAGUAGCCAAUCUAAACUUCCCCUGGCACAAUUUGAGGCCAUUUCCUCUCAUCCUUGUUCCCUGGGAGCAGUGCCUGACCCUCACCUGGUUGCACCCUCCUGUCAGUGAAAAGCCAGAAGGUCCCUGUGCAAGAGAAGAGGAUGGGGCCCUUCCCAACGUGGGGCAGCUGGGACCCUCCCUUCUGGAGCCUGAUGGAUGUAGAUGCCCUGUUGGGAUCCAAGUGCUACAUUGCAGUGGGCAGCAAAAUGGAUUUGUUUCUCCCACUGCAUGAGAAUAUGAUCACCAUGUAACUUUGAA